ACGCUGGCGGCAGGCCUAACACAUGCAAGUCGAGCGGUAGAGAGAAGCUUGCUUCUCUUGAGAGCGGCGGACGGGUGAGUAAUGCCUAGGAAUCUGCCUGGUAGUGGGGGAUAACGUUCGGAAACGGACGCUANUACCGCAUACGUCCUACGGGAGAAAGCAGGGGACCUUCGGGCCCUUGCGCUAUCAGAUGAGCCUAGGUCGGAUUAGCUAGUUGGUGGGGUAAUGGCUCACCAAGGCGACGAUCCGUAACUGGUCUGAGAGGAUGAUCAGUCACACUGGAACUGAGACACGGUCCAGACUCCUACGGGAGGCAGCAGUGGGGAAUAUUGGACAAUGGGCGAAAGCCUGAUCCAGCCAUGCCGCGUGUGUGAAGAAGGUCUUCGGAUUGUAAAGCACUUUAAGUUGGGAGGAAGGGCAGUUGCUUAAUACUUGACAAUUUUGACGUUACCGACAGAAUAAGCACCGGCUAACUCUGUGCCAGCAGCCGCGGUAAUACAGAGGGUGCAAGCGUUAAUCGGAAUUACUGGGCGUAAAGCGCGCGUAGGUGGUUAGUUAAGUUGGAUGUGAAAUCCCCGGGCUCAACCUGGGAACUGCAUUCAAAACUGACGAACUAGAGUAUGGUAGAGGGUGGUGGAAUUUCCUGUGUAGCGGUGAAAUGCGUAGAUAUAGGAAGGAACACCAGUGGCGAAGGCGACCACCUGGACUGAUACUGACGACUGAGGUGCGAAAGCGUGGGGAGCAAAC
rnacentral:rRNA from 1 species